rnacentral:rRNA from 1 species
AUGCGCUUCCCGUCCCCGCCGCCCCUCCGCCCCAGCCAUGCAGCGCUUCCUCCACUGCGAUCCGGCACGGCGCCCUCGAGUCAGCAACAAGAUGGUGGUGACGUCCCCUGCGCUCGAGCACGAAGAGCACAUUCUGCGCCAGUACGCGGUCUCCCUCUCCGCCGUAGACCGGGUCCAUGCCACCAAUCCCAUUGCUGUGGGGAAGGCCAUCGAGGCGCAACUCUGCACGCCCCUCCACCACCCCGAGGCUUCCUUGUGUACUUUGACCUGCCGGCGCACCGCGACAACGCGGUCCGCCACGACAUCAUCAAGGUGGACGUCGCCCGGUUCUUCAUCAGGGCAUGGCACGAGAACGACCAUGCGUCGCUCAUGAAGCUCCCGCUCCACAUUCGUGUUGUCGUGGUGAACCUGCCGAUGCAAUUAUGGUCGCUGGAGGGGGCGGACGUGGCCUUCAGAGAUUUCAGCUGCGCCGACCGUCUGUACAGCCGCACCCUGCAGAGAGAGGGCACACCAAGACUUUCGCGUUCUUGGGGAUCGCUGGAGGAUCCCGUCCACACCGGCGAUAUGGGUGCUCAUGCGGGGGUGGGGGGUGGGGCAGGGCGCGUCGACGAGAUCCUCGGCUUCUCCCCCCGGAUUGCCACGUCCCUCCGCCGCCGGGCGUUCGGCGCUAUGAUCUACCGCUCCACGUGGACAGGGUGGAGGACUGGACCCCGCUCUCUCCGCGCUCGUCGCACUCUGGACAGAGCGGCUCCCUCCUCAUCCUCUGGCGACAAUCGCCCCUUCACAAGGACCGAGUCAGGGGUGUGGGUCGGUACCGUGGAAGAUGGACAACCGGACAGACGACGUGUCGCGCCCCGCCUCGCGGCCCAGGGCUGCGGCGACCCGCACGCCCGGCCGUAA